GGGGGGAGGCCGGAUCCUGGGCUGUGUCCCAGCGCCCUGUGCUCCGCAGCCUGCGCUGUUGGAUUCGCGCUCCCGCCCCGCAGACCCCU
rfam:Canis lupus familiaris chromosome 14, whole genome shotgun sequence.